UUGCUACAGCCAACAACUAAAAAGCAGUCCAAGGGAGUCUUUACAGCCAAGCGUCUAACCUUUGAGUUCUAGUCCCAUAAAGUCCCCCUUCUUUUAAGAAAAACAAAAAUUCAUCUAUAUGAAUAUAAGGAUUAUAUAGUAAAUGGCCCAGAAUGAUCAGAAAAUGAAAUAUUUCCAUAAAUUAAAAAUUCAGAAUGAUUGGUAAUGUUUUCCUACUCACAAUCACAGUGUUUCAAAAGCAUUAGAUUAUUAUAACUAUAUUGAAUAAGACAAUGUUUCUCUGACAAUUAGGAGAUCGUUAAAAAACCAGCAACCUUGGAGUGCCCUGGAGUCAUAAUGAUAAACACUGAGUUUUCUCUUGUAGCACUCUAAGGAAGCUAAGACCUAGCUGGGGCCUUAAAGACAAUUUUACAGAAGACGGAGAUUGGGUUCUUUGUACAGACUUUAUGAUAUAGCCCACAAGUUGGUUAUUUUUUAUUUUAAUGUGCCUUGGCACUUGUUACUCAGGAAAACUUGGGUGUAGAACAGACAAAUGCAUAACCCUUUGGGCACAUUCAUGUACUUGCCUUUCUAUGAGUGUAAUUUUACAAUGUGUAGUGAAGAAGCCUUUGCUAGAAGUAUUUUGCUUCACACAAACCAUUGUCACUGAUUUCACCGGGGCCCUGUAACUUUUUUGUGUUGGUGUUGUGUCACUUUAUCCUCUUAUCAACAUGCACUUGCUCUUUUAUUACACUCUUAUUUGAGCCUUGCUGAUUAGAUACAAAAGAACACUAUUUAUCAAGAGUGUAUUAGACUUAUUUUAGAGCCUCAUUCCAAGUGCCACAGUCUCUUUUGCUUCCAUAGAUACUUCAAAUAUCCAGCAACCCCGCCCCCUUCUGUUUCCCAUGAGAUUUUACUUGAAACAAAAAUCUAGGCAUGGACACUUGAAAUGGCAUCACUGCUACUGUGAGAAACCUUUCUAGUGUUUACGUAAUGUAGAAAACUUCAUGAAAUCUCUUUCCAACGAGAUUCCACACUCUAAACGAUGCCCUGGUUCACAUGCUGAAUUGAUGAAGACAGGUACAAUGAUGAGCAGCAGAUUGGUUAAAAAAAAAUCACUGGAUACUGCCUGUGCUUCACUGAGAGGACACAGCAAUUGUUCUAACUAAAUGGCUUGUCCUUAGGUUUGCAACAGGGAAGAAACCAAGGAGAGAAAGGAUGAGUUCAACCACGAAUCCUCUGGGAGAAUUAGAUGUGGGGCUCUGAGUGUUCUUGCAUGUGCAUGCUAUUUUCCAGUUCUGAAAAUUGACAUUCUACAAAUCUACUGUCUUAAUGCAUCAAAAGAGUUAAUGUGUUAUCCUAAUGAUCAUCAAACACUUUCGGGAUGGAACAGUAAGUACUAGGCAAAAGGAGGGAAGAGAAGAUGGUCGUGAAUAAUGAUGGCCAUAAUACUGACAAUUCUGAAGUUCUUUUCUGUGGGAAUGUGUAAUCUCUUCUUUCCUCUAGAUGGGAUUACCAAAUUAGAUGAUCAAAAUCUCAUAAAGUGGGGUAUGUGGUAUACACAUGUAAUGCCAGCACUCAGUAGGCAGACACAGAAUCCUAAGUUGGAGGCCAGCAUGGGUUACAUGGUAGAACCCUGUCUCAUAAAACCAAGGGCUGGAGAUAAAGCUCAGAGAUAGAGCAAUGACCAGUAUGUGCACAGCUCUGGUCUCAAUUCCCAGUAUUAAAACAACAACAAGCAAACAAGCUCUUAGAUGAAGGGAGUUUUGUUUUCUUUGGGGAGGGUGGGGUAUUUGCUCUACACUUCCACAUCAUAGUCCAUCAUUGAAGGAAGUCAGGACAGGAACUCAAACAGGGCAGGAACCUGGAGGCAGGAGCUGAUGCAGAGGCCAUGGGGGCGGGGUGCUGCUGCUUACUUUUAUUCUCAUUGGCUUACAGAAAUAAAUACACGUUUAGAUAAGAUUGCUAAAAUUCCCACAAAAUGAGGAAACUGAACUUUCAAGACCUCCAACAUGCUAAAAAGUAAUCUUUAAAAACCUAUCCAAGCCAGGCGGUGGUGGCGCACGCCUUUAAUCCCAGCACUCGGGAGGCAGAGCCAGGCGGAUCUCUGUGAGUUCAAGGCUAGCCUGUUCUACAGAGUGAAAUCCAGGACAGGCAGGGCUACACAAAGAAACCCUGUCUCGAAAAACCAACAAACAAAACAAAACAAAAAACCUAUCCAAGUGCCAGGUGUGGUGGUAUAAGUCUUUAAUCCCAGCAAGCAGAUCUUUGUGAGUUCAAGGCCAGCCUGGUCUACAUAGCAAGUUCCAAGCUACCAAGGACUACAUAGUUAAGACUAUCUUUUUUAAACUUCCUUUUUAUUUAUUCUUUGUAGCUUUCACAUCAUGCAUCUCCCCCAUACCUUCAUAUCCACUCUGUGCCCUUGCAAUCUCCCCCUAAAAUAAUAUCCACUCUGUGCCCUUGCAAUCUCCCCCUAAAAUAAAAUAAAAUUUAAGAGAAAAGCAAAGAAGAAAAAUCUUGUCAUCGAAGCUGUACUGUGACACAGUGAGUUACACAAUAUACCCUUUAGUCCAUAUAUCUUUACUUGCAAAUGUUCAUUGCAAACAAUCAUUGGUCUGGUUUGAGGCCUCUGGCUUCUGCUACACCAUCAAUACUGGAUCCUCACUGGGGCUCCUCUUGGAUAUCCUGUUGUUGCCCUGUGUCAUGGAGAUCCUAUAGCUUUAGAUCUGCAGGACCGGCCCCUUCACAUGCUCCAGCAGAUCAUAGAGGGGAUGGAUGCUGGGGUGUGCCAACUCAUAAUCUGGGUAGUUGCAGGGUUGGUCAGUCCACCAGGGUGAGAUCUCCAGCACUGUCCCGGCUAAUUUACCCCUUGCAAUGAGCAAGGAGCGGGGCCAGUUCUGCUUUCAUACUCUCAGGGUCAGCUCACCCACACCUACACUACCAGGGUCAGCUCACCCACACCUACACUACCAGGGUCAGCUCACCCACACCUACACUACCAGGGUCAGCUCACUCACACCUAUACUACCAGGGCCAGCUCACCCAUACCUACACUACCAGGGCCAGCUCUAUUGUGCUGCACAGGCGAAGUGCAGGGGCCACUCUCCUGAAUGCUGCAGCUAGCUGGUGAGAGGCAGGGAAAGCUCUCCUGUUCUUGGGAUCUCAGGGCCAGCUCUCCCAAAUGCCACCGGCAGUGAAGGGCAGGGCGGGGAUGUCUCUUCCUUGCCACCUUUUGGCAGAUGAGGGGCAGGGUCAGAUCUCUCAAGCUCACAUUCUCAGGCUGGUUCAUCUACACCCUGUCAACAGGGUCAGCUCUACUGUGCUGCCCAGGCGAGGUGCAGGGCCAGCUUUUCCGAGUGCUGCAGCUGGUAAGGGGGAGGGUCGAGGCACGCAGGGCAUCUUUCCCCUGCCCUCACCACCACAUGACAGACAAGGGUGGUAUGGCCAGUUAUCCCACCCUCAUGAGAGGGUCAGCGCCCUCAUCUGCCACAGGUGGCAAGGGCCAAGGGGCAGUGAGACUCUAUCUUUUAAAAAAAGAGACAUAUUUUAAGAAUUCAAGAUCAUACAAUUUAUGUAAAAUUUUAAUAAUUAAGACUAAUUUAAUAAUUUACUAAAAGCAAUUAUAUCUUCUCAGUUGCAGGUAUAAUAAACAGGAGUAUUUUUAGUCCACUUAGAUAUGUUCUUCCUAAACAUUUUACAGGUUUAUUGAUGGAACGAGCUAGCAUUACUUCUAACAAAUGUUUAAUAGUUCGCAAAAUGUACAUUUGUUUAACCAAGUUGAGCCAUUAUUAUGGCAAACUUUACUUCAACAGUAAUUGUGUUUUGUAUUCUAUUAGCUUAAGAUAAUUUGUAAGAUCUUAAGGUAACUGAAAAUUCUGGCUGAUGCCUAAUUUAAUUAUUUCUAAGGAAAUGUUGAAGUAUUAGCACAGAACCUUGGGCUUAUAUGCAUUUGCUUCUUAUCUGUGCAUGUGCAUGUGAAUGCAUGGUACAUUCAUGUGUUUACUGCAUGCAGAAGUCAGAGGUUGAUUUUGGGUAUCUCAGGCUUGCUUUUAUUUACUGAAGAAGGGUCUCUUGCUGAACCUGGAGCUCACAGAUGCGGCAAGUCUAGCCAGUCAGUUUGCCCUAGGGCCCCUCUGUCACCACCUCCCACGCACUGGGAUUACAGGCAGGCCACCAAGCCUACCUGGCUUUUUUAUGGGCUGGUGAUCCAAACUCUGGUCCUUACGCUUAGGCAGUAAGUAUUUUAUCCAGUGAACCAUCUCACUAGCUCUGCUUUUAUUUUUAUAAGUUACAGGACGCUAUAUUUAAGUGUGUUAAAGGGUGUGUUCUUUUUGCCACCAACAGAGGGACUUUGUACUAUAAAGGUAUGUAUGUACUAUAAGGAUACAGAAAGUUGUAGAGGGUUCACAAAAGAGAAUUUUAUUUGUUUAGGUCAAAGCUGGCUAAAUUUUGGUGUAUGAUUUAUAAAAUUUCUCACAAGAACUCUAAUUCCAAGCAUAUUGAUGAAAAACUAGUUUUGUUAUUUCUGUGUCUAAAAGACAAAGAAUUUUGGAUUCUUAGUCUGUUCUUACAGCAAGCUGGGAAUGGCUUGCCUUACCUUCUGGAAAACCUUCUUAGGUAACAAAGAUUCUGUGUCUUCCCAGAAUUAUCUUCCAGGGUUUCCUACUUUUCAUGUCCACUGGCCUCACAUAUGGCAAACAAGCCUUCUUUUUUGGGAUCUGUUCCCAUCUUUCUCUAUUACUUAAGAAAGCAAAGUCUUCUCACUUAGGAAGGAGCUAACAGCUUUAGGCUUUACCAUCACUUUACUUCUAUGCUUAUAUGGACAAUAUUUUAUUGUUACUUAGGUAACAACACAUAAUCCUAUCUUAAUCAAGUCUCAGAGAGCCGAUAGGACAAAACCACAAAGGAUUUUUGUUUGACUUCAUAAAAAGAGAGGCACCUAUGACAAUUAGCUUUGUGUUGUGUUAUUAUUGCAACAUCACAUAGGCAGAGCCAUCAAGCCAAAAGUGGUAAUUUGCCUCUCCUAGGUUAAAAUGGUAAAAUGUUACCAAUAUAAAUAUUUCAGAAACUGUAUGCUGUAUGAGAUCAUGUAUGUCUCCACCGGUCAUGAUAUGUUUCUAUUUGUCAGAGUUAAGCUUGCUUCUUUGUCAAAUGUUAGACAACUAGAGGACCACAGCUCUCACCCAUCUGUGAGGACUACAUGCCAACACCCCUAGUGGGUUCCUGAAACCCUGGAAAGUACAAAACACUUUAUAUAUCACGUUUUUCUGUAUGUAUGUAUGUAUGUAUGUAUGUAUGUAUGUGUGAGAUACAUAGCUGGCUUAUGAUAAAAUCCAAAUUACAAGUGAGGCACAAUAAAAGAUUAACAAUAAUAUCAAAAUGGAACGAUUAGAAUACAGCAUAAUAAAAGUUAUAUGAAAUAUAGUCUUGUUCUCUGUCUCUCCAGAUACACUUUAAAACAUUUUUCUCUUUUAUUAUUUUAUGCAUAUAGGUAUUUUGCUUGCACGUAUGUCUGUGCACCACAUGCCUAUCACCUCAUGUGGAGGCCAGAAGAGGGCAUCAGAUCCCCUGGAACUGGAGUUACUGUUAUGAGCUGCCAUGUGGGUAAUGGACUUCAACCUGGGUCCUUUGGAAGAGCAAUCAGUGCUCUUAAUGCCUGAACCAUCUCUCCAGCCCCUCUCCAAAUAUAUUAAUGUCCUGGACUGAUCAUGGUUCAUCAUGAGGAACUGAAACUGAGGAAUGUGAAAUCAUGGAUGGGGGUUGUUGUAGUUAGGGUUUCUAUUGCUGUGAUAAAACACCAUGACCAAAAGCAACUUGGGGAGGAAAGUGUUUAUGACAUUUUACAGCUUGUAGUUCAUCAUCCAGGAAAGUCAGGGCGGGAACCUAGAGGCAGGAACCAAACCUGAUGCGGAGACCCAUAGAGGAGUGCUGCUUACUGGCUUGCUCCUCAUGGUUUGCUCAGCCUGCUUUCUUAUAGAACCCAGGACCACCACCCUAAGGAUGGAACCACCCACAGUGGGCUGGGCAUUGCUUUCAACUGAGGCUCCCUCUAGUUUAUGCCAAGUUGACAAACACUAGCCAGCACAGGGGCCUAAUGCACGAAGUUUUCACUCAAAAUUUCAGGAGUUUUUGGUUCAGUGUUAACUUGAUCAUAACUAUGCUUCUUGAUUUUGAAUCUUGGAUCUUCCUAGUCACUAGUUUUCAACUGGGGAUUCAUAUCAUUUCCCUAAUACAAAUGUUUAAGAUGUAGUCUAGAUUUCUGAAUCUCUUUAUUUGCUUUCCCUGAUAGAGUCUGGGUAUAAUCUAACUAAAUGCUUGAUACAUUCAUUUUACACUGGGUCCAGAUUUUUAUAUGCUAUUUCUGAGUCUUUUCUCUAUAAAGAUAAUGUUCAUACAUUUUUAUAAAUUAGACACAAUACCCUGUCUUCUUUGAAAAGAGUUAAUCAUUAUGUUUACAGAUAUUUUGUUGACGAUUUUUGGAUUGGCUUUUAUCUUGUUUUGCAUGCCACAGUAACAACUACAUCUCCUUGUCAGCUGCAUUAUUAUUCCUGUAAUGAACUCUCAUCAGAUUUUUCCCUUUUGAAAAUGAGCAGUAAUAAGGUAACCACAGCUAUUGUAAGCCUUUUGUCAUCUACACAUUGCUUUUUAUGUUUUCUUUCAAUGCUUCCCUGAAAGUACCUACCACUCACUAUAAGCUAGAGGGCUUCCAUCUCAACAAAAUACCCUCUGAGAGCUCUGACAGCCUCACGAGAAAGAACUGUGCUGGGGGCUUUUGUGCGCAAGCUUCUGUCGGAUAGUUUACUUUCUUUUAUUAUGUGGUACUGAGGAUUGUACCUAGGGCUUUAUACAUGCUAGGCAGAUGCUCUACCACUGAGCUAUAGCCCCAACCCUGGUUUACUUUUUCUUUUCUUCUGUCUCUCACUCUCCCCCCCCCCCAGCCUCAGGGGCAGAACCUACUGCCUCACAUAUGUGAGACAAGCACUUUAGGACUGAGAACCACCCUAGAACAAGUUUGAAGCCACACUAGUGAAUAGUAAACUAAGACAAAAUUUUGAAAACUAGCUGAAAAGAAGGUGAGUUAAUAAUUCUCCUAACUCAAGCCUGAAGGGCAUAACUAUUAAUCAUAGAGACCCCUCAAGGAGCUGAUGAAGGAUGAUCAGGAGUUCUGUUUGGAAUAUUGGUUGGUUUGUUUUGAGACAGGGUCUCAUGGCUGGCCUGAAACUCACUAUACAGAGCAGGCUGGCCUUGAAUUUGUGGCAGCCCUUCUGCCUGUCUCCUUAGUGCUGGGAUUGACAAGCAGGAGCCGAUACACCUUGCUGGCCACCUGCUAUUUCCAUGGCUUGCUCUUGUUAAAUCCUAGCCAUGUUAGUACAUACAUGGUGGCAUCCCAUUGAGGAUUUGAUUUGUGUUUCCAUGAUGACUGAUACCAGACUUCUUUUCAGAUUCUGGUCGCCCUGUGUAUGUGUUUGAAAGAUGCCUAUUCAAGUCCUCUGUCUAGUCUGAAAUUUGUCUUUUUCCUGUUGAGAAGGAUUAUUCAUAUUUUCUGCAUAGUAAGACCUUAUCUAUCAGAUAAAUGACUGACAAAUAUCUUCCCAUCAUGUAGGUUGUCUUUUCCUUUUCCUUAAUGUUCUUUGACACAUAAAAGUUGUUAAUUUGAUGCCAGUUACAUGGCCCAGUGUAUAAAGACACUUCCCAUGUUAGCCUGGCUCAGUGUAUAAAGACACUUCCCAUGUUAGCCUGGCUCAGUGUAUAAAGACACUUCCCAUGUUAGCCUGGCUCAGUGUAUAAAGACACUUCCCAUGUUAGCCUGGUGACCCAGGUUUGAUCCACAGAACCUAUGUAAAUAUGGAAGAAGAGACCUGACUCCACAAUGCUGGCAUCUGACCCCUCUACAUGUGCACUGUGGCACACACACUCACACACAUUAUGCACACACACACACACACACAUACACACACACACACAUUUUAAAAGGUUUUAUAAUUUGAUCAACUCAAGUUUAUCUCUUUUUUACUUUUAAUAUUUUUGUCUCCAAGUGGGUAGGGUUACAAGUAUGUAUCACAUCUGGCUUGCUUGUUUGACAUGGGGUAUCAUUAUAUACCUACCUUAGAUUAUUAUUAUUGUUGUUGUUGUUGUUGAUUUGGAUUUUUGAGUCAGUCUCGUUAUGUAGCUCUAACUAUCCUGGAAUUCACCUCUCAGAGAUCUGGCUACUUCUGCAUGCAGAGUACAGAAUUAAUGUGUUUACCACUAUGCCUGGCUCUAGCUUGGAUCUGAAUUUGUGACCUUCCUGCCUCAGCCUCCAAAAUCCUAGGAUUAUAGCAAAGCAUGGUGGCGUACACCUUUAAUCCCAGAACUCAGGAGGCAGAGACAGAGGCAGUUAUAUUUCUGUGAGUUCAAGGCCAGACUGGUUUACAUAAUGAGUUGGAGGCCAGCCAAGGCUACAUAGUAAGAGACCCUCUCUCAAAACUGAACAAACAAAACCAAACAAAAAACAAAACCAACAAGAAACCCACACUAGCACCAAAAGUCCUGGGAUUAUAGCUUUUCACCAUACCUAGUUCUUGUGGUCAUUAAGUCAUCUAUGUUUAAAGACACCUCAAUUACUGGACUCUAAAACAACUGACCUUUGGUAUUACCGCUUAGCAGAUGGCUCACUGAGUUUACAGGAACGACAGUGCCCGAGAGACUUUCAUACACGUCUGCUUCGGUCCACGCAGGAUUGUGAUUGACAUUUGUCUUAAACAAAGGGGAGAGAUGACUGUGUUGAAGUUUAUCUGAGCCCUGCUUACCCUAGAAAGCUGAGAUGGCUAAGAAAUUUUUCCCACCUCUGGUUUUCCAAGAAAAGAUGAAGCACAGGGUUCACCCUCCCUUGGCACAUUAUUCCAGGUGCAAAUCCACCUCCACCCUCCCUUAUAAGACUUACAGAUGACUCACUUGUUUGUCUGCCACUGGAACAACGCGGGCCCCCUUCCUGUUCUUUGAGAUGGCUCUCAUUCCCGAAUGGCCUCCCAUUGCAAUAGCUGAAUAACUAACUGCCUUAGAUGCCCACUGCAUUCUGUCUUUCCCAUCACUGACACGCAUGUCCAGGAGAGACCAGGUUCAACAUACAUAUUUCUGAACACUUUGGGGAAUGAGUAUGCAGUUCUGUGAUCAGGCAAUUGCUUAAAAAAUAACCCCCCCCAAAAAGACAGAGCUCCACCUACCUUCUUAAAUGCCUUGACGAGCUGUGCCCCACAAAGUCAGUCUUUAACAAAAAAGCAUAAUGCUCAGUCAACUGCAUUUACUGGUUUUUAUGCCCAUUAAAGGUCAGGGACAGCCAGGUGUGGUGGCUCAAGCUUUUAACCCCAGCACUUGAGAGGCAGAGGCAGGUAGAUCUCUGAGUUCAAGACCAGCCUGAUCUACAGAGUGAGUUCUAGCACAGGGCUACAUAGAGAGACUGUGCCUCAACAAACAAACAAACAAACAAACAAACAAACAAUAAAUAAAUAAAUAAAUAAAAAUGUCAGAGAGACUGUGCCUCAACAAACAAACAACAAACAAAUAAACAAACAAACAAACAAAUAAAUAAAUAAAUAAAAAAUGUCAGAGAUGCUUGGGUCCUGAUGUGAAGACUUUGAGGUAAAACAUCAGGUGGCCAUCUCACUCUGGCAAAAGCACAUGCCAACACUGUUCUAUCACUUCAAAGAUUCUACAAAAAUAUUUUAUAAAAUGUUUGCUGCUGAUAUUUAUUGAUGGACAUUUAGAGUAUUCCCAGUCUAUCCCUUUUACAAGUAAGUAUUCUGCAGCAGAGAAUCUCGAAUAUGCCAUUUUGAAUAUGUACAAAUAUGUAUGAAAGACUAUUAGAUGAGUAAUCCCCGAAUCAAAGAUUUUACUUGUAAUUUAAUUAAAAUUGCCAAAAUUGUCUUGCAUUUAGUCUAUAAUUGUGAAUACCGUGUUAGCAAACUUUUAUGCAUGUAAUAAUGUAAAAAUGGGAAAAUGGGGAAAAGUUAGCAUUAUAGACUUUUAAUGAUAUUUUCUCAUUUGGACCUUUCUAAAAAGACUUAAUCAUAUGUCUGUUUUCUCUUUUAGUGUUAACAAACAGCUUAACAUUCUUUGCUUCCAUUAUAGCUGUUUUGGAACCAGCUGAAAAUACAGUUUGGCUCUGUAGGUAUACAACAAAAAUAUCAGCCACUAUUUAUUGGGUGUUAGCCUGUGCCAAGAACUGUACCAAAUGCUUUCAGCGGUGUUGACUCAAUCAAUUCUCACAACAGUCAUGUGAGAAAAAGCAGCAAAGAAGAACCCUCACAGGUUCCAAAGCCAUUUCCUAGGAUGUACCUCAAAUUUUUCCAGGUUCAGUCAACAAUGUCUACCUCUAAUGCUCUUGGUUCAGUGGAGUCCAGGAGGCUGAGAGAAGCGGCAAGAUUAAGUCAGACCCACUCUCCUGCGCUUACUAAAGCAGAAAUGUAUAGGUCCUCAUAUUUGUGAGUUCUCAUGCAGGUGCCAGCAUGGGAAGGGACUGAGCAGCAAGGGACAAGGACAUGCCAUCCAUGGAUGAAACGAGCCGUCUGCCUUGGUGGUGAGAUGACGUGGCGGCCUUGGGAUCCAGGUCUCCUUUUCAUGCAGUUAUCUACAUGUUGAGGAAGGACAGAAGGACCAAAUGGCUAGAACCUCUCAAUCUGCUCCUCGCAGUGAGAAAAGGAGGAAAUGAGAGAAGGAAGGAAGCAAGUUACAUGGGAUGUGGGGCCUCGAACCUGCUGAGUCCCUGUUGUCUCUUCUGGAUUCUGCUGCAGGGCAUAUGCUUCGAUCAGAGAGUGAACCAUACUGGCCUGAAAUGUCAGCAUAAAAGAAAAAAGGCAGAAGAGUCUCUUCAAGGUUCAAUUUACUGAAAUCCCAUUACCAACGUCCUGCGGGAAGAACUAACAACUGUAUCUCUUCUCCCUUCUUUCACUUUAACAGUUGGGAUACACUUAAGACAAAACAGAUACAAAGUAUCAAAAUCGCCAAGACGGACGCUUCCAGCCUUACUUAAGGCAAGUGAUGGACUACUCUCUCCCAACAGCUUGUGGUCGAGGGCUUCAAUGAACCCCUCCUAUUAGAAACUACGGUCACCUCUUCACCAUUCCUUCCCCCUCCCCCGCCUCCACCCGCACCCAUAUGUUGGCAGCCCCGCUGCGCUCCCCAAAGGUAACCACUUCCUUCUGCUUCAGCUUGGUGUGCCUGAAACUGCUAGUAAAAUUUUUGCUGAAGGUAUCCCUCAGUCCAGUUUUCCUAGCUUCCUAAUUGUACUCCCCUUUUCACACCCCCACCCCCAUCCCCCAAAACGAUGGUCUUUCAUCCAGACCU